rnacentral:rRNA from 1 species
UGGGGAAUAUUGGACAAUGGGCGAAAGCCUGAUCCAGCCAUGCCGCGUGUGUGAAGAAGGUCUUCGGAUUGUAAAGCACUUUAAGUUGGGAGGAAGGGCAGUAAGCGAAUACCUUGCUGUUUUGACGUUACCGACAGAAUAAGCACCGGCUAACUCUGUGCCAGCAGCCGCGGUAAUACAGAGGGUGCAAGCGUUAAUCGGAAUUACUGGGCGUAAAGCGCGCGUAGGUGGUUCGUUAAGUUGAAUGUGAAAGCCCCGGGCUCAACCUGGGAACUGCAUCCAAAACUGGCGAGCUAGAGUAGGGCAGAGGGUGGUGGAAUUUCCUGUGUAGCGGUGAAAUGCGUAGAUAUAGGAAGGAACACCAGUGGAGAAGGCGACCACCUGGGCUCAUACUGACACUGAGGUGCGAUAGCGUGGGGAGCAAACAGG